rnacentral:SRP_RNA from 1 species
GUUGGGGUCUGUGGCGGGCCCUGUAAUCCAAGCUACUGGGAGAUUAGAUUUUGUGGAUGGUUUGAGGGUGGGUGACGUAAUAGGUAGUGCUUGACGUUGAAUCGGCGUCCGCGCUAUUCUUGGCGUGCACAUGUGUAUCUUGGAGGGUACCGGGCCCCAGGUUGCUAACAUAAAGAAUGUUAAUAAAUUUGUGGGAGACGUCCAAGAUGUGUGAAGUGUUCGUAAUAAGCAAUAGUGGGAUGUAUCAGGCAUGUACAGUCGCCUAGUCAAUACAAUCAGACCGGGUUCCUU